GGACCAUAAGGGUAAAAUAAUUUUANUUUAUUUUGAUUAAUAUUAAUUUAAUUUAAU
rnacentral:rRNA from 1 species